rnacentral:rRNA from 1 species
GACAGAGGGUGCAAACGUUGUUCGGAAUUACUGGGCGUAAAGCGUGUGUAGGCUGCUCUGCAAGUCGGAUGUGAAAGCCCUGGGCUCAACCUAGGAAGUGCAUUCGAAACUGCAGAGCUCGAGUCCUGGAGAGGAAGGCGGAAUUCUCGGUGUAGAGGUGAAAUUCGUAGAUAUCGAGAGGAACACCGGUGGCGAAGGCGGCCUUCUGGACAGUGACUGACGCUGAGACACGAAAGCGUGGGGAGCAAACAGGAU